rnacentral:rRNA from 1 species
AGUGAACGCUGGCGGUAGGCCUAACACAUGCAAGUCGAACGGCAGCACAGUAAGAGCUUGCUCUUACGGGUGGCGAGUGGCGGACGGGUGAGGAAUACAUCGGAAUCUACUUUUUCGUGGGGGAUAACGUAGGGAAACUUACGCUAAUACCGCAUACGACCUACGGGUGAAAGCAGGGGAUCUUCGGACCUUGCGCGAUUGAAUGAGCCGAUGUCGGAUUAGCUAGUUGGCGGGGUAAAGGCCCACCAAGGCGACGAUCCGUAGCUGGUCUGAGAGGAUGAUCAGCCACACUGGAACUGAGACACGGUCCAGACUCCUACGGGAGGCAGCAGUGGGGAAUAUUGGACAAUGGGCGCAAGCCUGAUCCAGCCAUACCGCGUGAGUGAAGAAGGCCUUCGGGUUGUAAAGCCCUUUUGUUGGGAAAGAAAAGCAGCAUGUUAAUACCCCGCUGUUCUGACGGUACCCAAAGAAUAAGCACCGGCUAACUUCGUG